AUCAACUUUCGAUGGUAGGAUAGAGGCCUACCAUGGUUUUAACGGGUAACGGGGAAUUAGGGUUCGAUUCCGGAGAGGGAGCCUGAGAAACGGCUACCACAUCCAAGGAAGGCAGCGGGCGCGCAAAUUACCCAAUCCCGACACGGGGAGGUAGUGACAAUAAAUAACAAUAUGGGGCUCUUACGAGUCUCGUAAUUGGAAUGAGUACAAUUUAAAUCUCUUAACGAGGAACAAUUGGAGGGCAAGUCUGGUGCCAGCAGCCGCGGUAAUUCCAGCUCCAAUAGCGUAUAUUAAAGUUGUUGCAGUUAAAAAGCUCGUAGUUGAAUUUCGGGGUCUAUCCGUUGGUCGGGCUUUUGGGUCCGUACUGGCGUUAUGGAUUCCUACCUUCUGAAUAACCGGUAUGCCAUUAAUUUGGUGUGCUGGGGAAGCAGGACUGUUACCUUGAAAAAAUUAGAGUGCUUAAAGCAGGCUAUCGCCUGAAUACAUUAGCAUGGAAUAAUGAAAUAGGACGGCAUGGUUCUAUUUUGUUGGUUUCUAGGAUCACCGUAAUGAUUAAUAGGGAUAGUUGGGGGCAUUAGUAUUCAAUUGUCAGAGGUGAAAUUCUUGGAUUUAUUGAAGACUAACUUCUGCGAAAGCAUUUGCCAAGGAUGUUUUCAUUAAUCAAGAACGAAAGUUAGGGGAUCGAAGACGAUCAGAUACCGUCGUAGUCUUAACCAUAAACUAUGCCGACUAGGGAUCGGACGAUGUUAAUUUUAUAAUGGCUCGUUCGGCGCCUUACGGGAAACCAAAGUGUUUGGGUUC
rnacentral:rRNA from 1 species